UUGACAUGUCCGGAAUCCGAAGAGAUUUGGGAGUGCUCGCAAGAGAGCCGGAACACAGGUGCUGCAUGGCUGUCGUCAGCUCGUGUCGUGAGAUGUUGGUUAAGUCCCGCAACGACGCGCAACCCUUGUCAUUAGUUGCCAUCAUUUGGUUGGGCACUCUAAUGAGACUGCCGGUGACAAACCGGAGGAAGGUGGGGAUGACGUCAAGUCCUCAUGGCCCUUAUGGGUAGGGCUUCACACGUCAUACAAUGGUCGGUACAGAGGGUUGCCAACCCGCGAGGGGGAGCUAAUCCCAUAAAGCCAUUCGUAGUCCGGAUCGCAGUCUGCAACUCGACUGCGUGAAGUCGGAAUCGCUAGUAAUCGUGGAUCAGAAUGUCACGGUGAAUACGUUCCCGGGUCUU
rnacentral:rRNA from 1 species